CAGAAAGAGAAGACUGGUUGAGGAGUAACUUUCCUGCUGCUGCAACAGUGACUGUCAUUCGGAUGCAUGAGCAGCAACAACAGUCUUAAAACAACUAACAUAACUUUUAUUCGUCGUAAAUGCUUCACAUUAAGCUUUGGAGUUUCAACUGAAGAUUUGAAACAACUACUAUAUACCUACUACACGUCAAAGUCCCGGACCAGCACCGACCUCGCCGACACCCGGAUCAUCGCCAGACAACAUGUACCUUUUUGAGACCGAGGCAGAAUCGUCCUCUCCAGGGACAAUCUCAGCAUUAAUGAAUGAAUCUCCUUUCCAGUGGGAAGAAUUUGUGGAUCUGAUCAUGUAUGGAUACAGAACUCUAUGUACAAACACCUACACAGAGCAGCCAGUGCACCUUCUGCAUCUGUUGAGAGAUGGAAGGAAAUUAAAGUAUUCGGAAGGAAACCGCACAGACAGAAAAACACUCGUGAACUUUUCCCAGUGACAAAGAUAAGGACUGAACCCAUGUUGCUGUGAGACUUCCAUAUCUCCAGCUGUGCCACCGUGAUGCCUGGACAAAAUAAGUGAGUCUUGGCCUUAUCACCUGAGAUGCUACUGUCGGAUGUGAGCAGAAAACCCCUAGUAGUAGAGUUGAAGUACUUCGUGACCUUUUUCUAAGAUGUGGAUUACUUCAGCAGCAGCAGUUUUGUGGUCAGUCUACUGUUUUGGAGUGGCACAAAGGUCCAGUAAAGCUCCUGAAGACCUUGGUUUAACCAUUGCUUCAUUUUUACAGUCUGUGUGAUGUUUGACAUGGUCUUGAAAGUGUUUGUUUGGAUUUUACGCUUGGUACUCCAGUUUCCUCCGACCUUCCAAAACAAUAGGUAGGUUGGCUGUUAAUGGGGCCCUGAGGUGUGUGAUGCCCUGCGCAUUCAGUGUUUUCAGAAUUUGCUGGACCUACAUAAACCCUCAUGAAGAUCUAAGUGAAAUAUGUGGUGGUCAUGCAGAAGCAUUGCUUUCAGGUGAAGCUUUCUGUGCACCAUAGUCAACUACAGGCUUUAGGUGUGGGUAGGAACCAGGGGAAUAAGUU